rnacentral:rRNA from 1 species
CGAACGCUGGCGGCGUGCUUAACACAUGCAAGUCGAACGGUGAAGCGCCUUCCUUUUUGGUGGGUGUGGAUGAGUGGCGAACGGGUGAGUAACACGUGAGUAACCUGCCCCCUUCUUCUGGAUAACCGCAUGAAAGUGUGGCUAAUACGGGAUAUUCUGGGUCUGUCGCAUGAUGGGUCUGGGAAAGAUAUUGUUUCGGUGGGGGAUGGGCUCGCGGCCUAUCAGCUUGUUGGUGGGGUGAUGGCCUACCAAGGCGGUGACGGGUAGCCGGCCUGAGAGGGUGGACGGUCACACGGGGACUGAGACACGGCCCAGACUCCUACGGGAGGCAGCAGUGGGGAAUAUUGCACAAUGGGCGCAAGCCUGAUGCAGCGACGCCGCGUGAGGGAUGGAGGCCUGCGGGUUGUGAACCUCUUUCGCCAGUGAAGCAGGCCUGCCUCGUUUGUGGGUGGGUUGACGGUAGCUGGAUAAGAAGCGCCGGCUAACUACGUG